CGCUAUUGUUACUACAAAUGCAUUUCUACUGCAUGCACUCAACACUGCCACUGCAGUGCCCAAAAAUCCAGUAUGUACAGCUCCAGUCUGUAAUCUAGACCUCAGUUUGCAAAGUAGUUCCACAUGGUUGGUUUAUCAUGUUAGCACCAUGGAUGCCAAGGCACGGGGAUGUGGAGACUAGGAUGAAAGAGUGCUUAUUUCCUACUUAAGCUAAAGAGUGCAAGAGACAAGUCUACUGGCAAGCACGGAUGACUCAAGUCCAGACAUCUGGGGUUUGUUGUCAAAAUAAACAGCUAGUCCGCA